rnacentral:lncRNA from 1 species
UAGGUUAGGGCUACCGUACUUUUACGAUGCAUUUGGUGCGAAUUAUUCUGACAGAAUUACAGACAAUUCUGCCAUCAUUACUAUAUUUGGUUCAUUCGGUAUGUAAUCAGGUCAUUAACGUAACAUUACAAAUGAUGCAAAAUUAUAUUGAAAAUAUUACCGAGAAGGAGUGUGUAUCUUGAAUUAUUGAAAGCGGUUAAUCUUGUAUGUUAUAUAAAAUUACAAGUUUACACCUCUAACUACCGAAAUCUUUUCAAUAUGUCAUUUUAAAAAUUUUAAUUUUAAAUUUUAAAUUUUAAAUUUUAAAUUUAAAUUUUUAAUUUUUAAUUUAUAAAUUUUAUAUUUAUAUUUUAAAUUAAAUAUUAAAUUUUAUAUUUCUAUUCAAAUUUAAAAUUUCAUAUUUAAACAUUUUAAAUUUUAAAUUAUUUAAAAUAAAAUUUAAUAAAAAAAUUAUUUAUAAAUAGUUAAAAAAAAUUGUCAAAUAUAAGGUAAUUUUGAAAUAGACUAUACAUG